GACGAACGCUGGCGGCGUGCCUAAUACAUGCAAGUCGAGCGAAUGACGAGAAGCUUGCUUCUCUGAUUUAGCGGCGGACGGGUGAGUAACACGUGGGCAACCUGCCCUACAGAUCGGGAUAACUCAGGGAAACCUGGGCUAAUACCGGAUAAUCCUUCGAAUCACAUGUUUUGAAGUUGAAAGGCGCUUCGGCGUCACUGUAGGAUGGGCCCGCGGUGCAUUAGCUAGUUGGUGGGGUAACGGCCUACCAAGGCAACGAUGCAUAGCCGACCUGAGAGGGUGAUCGGCCACAUUGGGACUGAGACACGGCCCAAACUCCGACGGGAGGCAGCAGUAGGGAAUCUUCCACAAUGGACGAAAGUCUGAUGGAGCAACGCCGCGUGAGUGAUGAAGGUUUUCGGAUCGUAAAACUCUGUUGUAAGGGAAGAACAAGUACGUUAGGAAAUGAACGUACCUUGACGGUACCUUAUUAGAAAGCCACGGCUAACUACGUGCCAGCAGCCGCCGUAA
rnacentral:rRNA from 1 species